AUACGUAGGUGACAAGCGUUAUCCGGAUUUACUGGGCGUAAAGGGCGUGUAGGCGGUCUUGCAAGUCAGAAGUGAAAUUCCUGAGCUCAACUCGGGCGCUGCUUCUGAAACUGCAGGACUUGAGUGCUGGAGGGGAUAGCGGAAUUCCUAGUGGAGCGGUAAAAUGCGCAGAUAUUAGGAGGAACACCGGUGGCGAAGGCGGCUAUCUGGACAGUAACUGACGCUGAGGCGCGAAAGCGUGGGGAGCAAACAGGAUUAGAUACCCUGGUAGUCCACACUGUAAACGAGGAAUGCUAGGUGUAGGGGGUAUCGACCCCUUCUGUGCCGCAGUCAACACAAUAAGCAUUCCGCCUGGGGAGUACGGCCGCAAGGUUGAAACUCAAAUGAAUUGACGGGG
rnacentral:rRNA from 1 species